UACGGAGGAUGCGAGCGUUAUCCGGAUUUAUUGGGUUUAAAGGGUGCGUAGGCGGGCUUUUAAGUCAGCGGUAAAAAUUCGGGGCUCAACCCCGUCCGGCCGUUGAAACUGGGGGUCUUGAGUGGGCGAGAAGAAGGCGGAAUGCGUGGUGUAGCGGUGAAAUGCAUAGAUAUCACGCAGAACCCCGAUUGCGAAGGCAGCCUUCCGGCGCCCUACUGACGCUGAGGCACGAAAGUGUGGGGAGCAAACAGG
rnacentral:rRNA from 1 species